CAUGCAAGUCGAACGAACUCUUCGGAGUUAGUGGCGGAUGGGUGAGUAACACGUGGGAACGUGCCUUUAGGUUCGGAAUAACUCAGGGAAACUUGUGCUAAUACCGAAUGUGCCCUUCGGGGGAAAGAUUUAUCGCCUUUAGAGCGGCCCGCGUCUGAUUAGCUAGUUGGUGAGGUAAAGGCUCACCAAGGCGACGAUCAGUAGCUGGUCUGAGAGGAUGAUCAGCCACAUUGGGACUGAGACACGGCCCAAACUCCUACGGGAGGCAGCAGUGGGGAAUCUUGCGCAAUGGGCGAAAGCCUGACGCAGCCAUGCCGCGUGAAUGAUGAAGGUCUUAGGAUUGUAAAAUUCUUUCACCGGGGACGAUAAUGACGGUACCCGGAGAAGAAGCCCCGGCUAACUUCGUGCCAGCAGCCGCGGUAAUACGAAGGGGGCUAGCGUUGCUCGGAAUUACUGGGCGUAAAGGGAGCGUAGGCGGACAUUUAAGUCAGGGGUGAAAUCCCGGGGCUCAACCUCGGAAUUGCCUUUGAUACUGGGUGUCUUGAGUAUGAGAGAGGUGUGUGGAACUCCGAGUGUAGAGGUGAAAUUCGUAGAUAUUCGGAAGAACACCAGUGGCGAAGGCGACACACUGGCUCAUUACUGACGCUGAGGCUCGAAAGCGUGGGGAGCAAACAGGAUUAGAUACCCUGGUAGUCCACGCCGCAAACGAUGAUUGCUAGUUGUCGGGAUGCAUGCAUUUCGGUGACGCAGCUAACGCAUUAAGCAAUCCGCCUGGGGAGUACGGUCGCAAGAUUAAAACUCAAAGGAAUUGACGG
rnacentral:rRNA from 1 species